rnacentral:rRNA from 1 species
CCCUUAGAUGUCCUGGGCUGCACGCGCGCUACACUGACGAACUCAACGAGCUUAUCACCUUGGCAGAGAUGUCUGGGUAAUCUUUUGAAAGUUCGUCGUGCUGGGGAUAGAUGAUUGUAAUUAUUCGUCUUGAACGAGGAGUUCCUAGUAAGUGUGAGUCAUCAGCUCGCGCUGAUUACGUCCCUGCCCUUUGUACACACCGCCCGUCGCUCCUACCGAUUGAAUGGUCCGGUGAGGUUCUCGGAUUUUUUCUGUUGUUUGGUUCGCUAAACGAUUGAAGAGAGAAGUUACCCAAACCUUACCAUUUAGAGGAAGGAGAAGUCGUAACA